rnacentral:lncRNA from 1 species
AACCACUCAUUUUUCUUAAAAAACUAUUCUCCCUAUUUUCAUUUUCAUGUAAUGGGGAUCAAACCGGGGCUAAUAUUUAACUUGUAUAACUUUUUGAGUAGUUAAUGAAACAAUAAAUUAAAAAUGAAAAAUAAACCUCGACCCUAGUGACACUACAUGGAUCCAAUUCAAAUCCUUUGUACUCGCACUAUGCCUCUAACGUGUGUUUUCCGUCCAUUAUAGAUUAUUCUAUUCGAACAGGGGAGUGAUGCGCUUGUUUGAAUAGGGCUGCCUUCCAUUAUGGAUUAUUCUAUUUGAACAGGGAAGUGACGCCCUUGUUUGAGCAGGGCCGAGGCGGCCCUGUUCGAGUAGCACACCCAUCCAUUAUUACUAUUUCAUCUCGUUUUCUUACCCAUUUUUACGAUGGGAUGGCAAUUUUGAGAUGGAGAUGGAAGGAGGAAGGAUGUAAUUUAUUAAUAUUUUUGUCUUUUGCUUUUUUUUUUAAAUUAAAAAUUAUUAUAGCAAUUUAUGUUUUGUAUUACCCAACGGCAGAGACUACUAGAAGUCCAAAUGUUACCCAAAAAUAAAAAAUAAAAAUAAAAAACGG